rnacentral:rRNA from 1 species
CGGGGUGAGUAAUGUCUGGGAAACUGCCUGAUGGAGGGGGAUAACUACUGGAAACGGUAGCUAAUACUGCAUAACGUCGCAAGACCAAAGAGGGGGACCUUCGGGCCUCUUGCCAUCGGAUGUGCCCAGAUGGGAUUAGCUAGUAGGUGGGGUAACGGCUCACCUAGGCGACGAUCCCUAGCUGGUCUGAGAGGAUGACCAGCCACACUGGAACUGAGACACGGUCCAG